rnacentral:rRNA from 1 species
UACGGGGGGGGCAAGCGUUGUUCGGAAUUACUGGGCGUAAAGGGUUCGUAGGUGGCCAACUAAGUCAGACGUGAAAUCCCUCGGCUUAACCGGGGAACUGCGUCUGAUACUGGAUGGCUUGAGUUUGGGAGAGGGACGCGGAAUUCCAGGUGUAGCGGUGAAAUGCGCAGAUAUCAGGAGGAACACCGGUGGCGAAGGCGGUUCUCUGGGCAUGUCCUGACGCUGAGGAGCGAAAGUGUGGGGAGCGAACAGG